UAUCAGUCAUGCAUAGCAUAUCAAUAAGCGGAGGAAAAGAAACUAACAAGGAUUCCCUUAGUAACGGCGAGUGAAGCGGGAAGAGCUCAAAUUUGAAAUCUUCAAGGUUCUACCUUGACGAAUUGUAGUUUAUAGAAGUGUUUUCUGUUAGUGGAGUGGCAAAAGUUCUUUGGAAUAGGACAUCAUAGAGGGUGAGAAUCCCGUAUUUGGUCAUUCCUCCUAGCGUUGUGAUACACUUUCAACGAGUCGGAUUGUUUGGGAAUGCAGUCCAAAAUGGGUGGUAAAUUUCAUCUAAAGCUAAAUAUUGGCGAGAGACCGAUAGCGAACAAGUACCGUGAGGGAAAGAUGAAAAGAACUUUGAAAAGAGAGUUAAACAGUACGUGAAAUUGUCAAAAGGGAAGCGUUUGACACCAGUGUUGUUUUUCCGAAAAUCAAUUACGAAUGUUUUGUUUUUGAGGAGUUAUGACUUCAUCGGCUUGCUUCUCUCUUUACGAAACUUUCUUAAUGCACUUUUCGGAUUAACAAGUCAACAUCAAUUUCUUUUGUUGUAAAAGGGUAUGAGGAAGGUGGCUUUCUUUUCGGAGAAAGUGUUUAUAGCCUUGUGCCUCUGCAAUCGGAGAGAUUGAGGUCUGCAGCGUAGAUCCUUCGGGGUUAGAUACAGUUUGUGCUAAGUUAUAGCUUUUCAUAGACAACUUGUUGACUAUGUUAAGUCUUGUACUUACUCGCAGUAUGCUAUUUUACCUACGCUUAGGAUGUUGAUCUCUCACAGUCGAGC
rnacentral:rRNA from 1 species